AUUGAACGCUGGCGGCAGGCCUAACACAUGCAAGUCGAACGAGUGGCGGACGGGUGAGUAAUGUCUGGGAAACUGCCUGCUGGAGGGGGAUAACUACUGGAAACGGUAGCUAAUCCCGCAUACCAUCGGAUGUGCCCAUAUGGGAUUAGCUAGUAGGUGGGGUAACGGCUCACCUAGGCGACGAUCCCUAGCUGGUCUGAGAGGAUGACCAGCCACACUGGAACUGAGACAAGGUCCAGGCUACUACGGGAGGCAGUAUUGGGGAAUAUUGCAAAAUGGGCGAAAGCCUGAUGCAGCCAUGCCGCGUGUAUGAAGAAGGCCUUCGGGUUGUAAAGUACUUUCAGCGGGGAGGCGUUACCCGCAGAAGAAGCACCGGCUAACUCCGUGCCAGCAGCCGCGGUAAUAC
rnacentral:rRNA from 1 species